UACGAACGCUGGCGGCGUGCUUAACACAUGCAAGUCGAACGGAAAGGCCCUGCUUUUGUGGGGUGCUCGAGUGGCGAACGGGUGAGUAACACGUGAGUAACCUGCCCUUGACUUUGGGAUAACUUCAGGAAACUGGGGCUAAUACCGGAUAGGAGCUCCUGCUGCAUGGUGGGGGUUGGAAAGUUUCGGCGGUUGGGGAUGGACUCGCGGCUUAUCAGCUUGUUGGUGGGGUAGUGGCUUACCAAGGCUUUGACGGGUAGCCGGCCUGAGAGGGUGACCGGCCACAGAGGGACUGAGAUACGGCCCAGACUCCUACGGGAGGCAGCAGUGGGGAAUAUUGCACAAGGGGCGGAAGCCGGAUGCAGCAACGCCGCGUGCGGGAUGACGGCCUUCGGGUUGUAAACCGCUUUCGCCUGUGACGAAGCGUGAGUGACGGUAAUGGGUAAAGAAGCACCGGCUAACUACGU
rnacentral:rRNA from 1 species